GUAUUAAAUUUUUACAAGGCCUAAGCCCAAUAAUAACAUACUGAUGACAUUCCAAAGGGUUUAUAUAAAAACAUAGACAUGGGGGGAAUGAAAGGGAAGCCGACUCCAACAGAGCCAGCAGACCCUCAUAUCAUAUAUUCCCUCCUUCCCCCUCCCAGGGGAAACCCAAUGUCUACAGAGUGUGCACAGGUGAUUGAAGGCAAAGAGUUUGAAAGGUGUGCACAGUGCUCCAAAGAGCCAGCUACAACCCUCCAACUUGUUCAAUAAUGAUCCUUCCGCAGGUUCACCUACGGAAA
rnacentral:misc_RNA from 1 species